GGGGGUGGCCCGGCCCGGGAAUGAUCUGGCAGGUGGGGGUGUUGUCCCCUAUGAUUGGCGAAGGACCGCCGCCCUCGGGUGGCGGGUUCUUUGAUAAAUCAACAUGGGGGUGAUCGGUUUCGACUGGGGAUGUCGAAGCAGGGGAAGCGAGCCGAGGAACGCGGCAAUGAUCUCGUAAACCAUGUGCCGCAAAAAAAUAAUCGCCAAGCCUAACAGCGAUUCCUUCGCCCUCGCUGCCUGAUCUAACAGUCAGCGACUUUGCGAAGUGUCGGCCCGGGAGUGUUCCCGACCCGGAUCCCGGCAUCAGCUAGGGAACUCCACCGCUAAGCCCGGCCACGGGGCGUAGCGGAAAAACCAACAGUGGCUGAGCCCGUCGAAGACUUGUCUGCGUGAUCUUCGGGGCCGAGAAAAGCACAGCAGACUGCGCUCGGAGAAGCCCUGGUUCCGCACCACAGGACGCGGGUUCGAUUCCCGCCACCUCCAC
rnacentral:tmRNA from 1 species